GGAGGAGGAGGAGGAGGAGGAGGAGGAGGAGGAGGAAGGGGUGAAACUAUCAGGGUGGAAAGAAAUAGGUUUGCAAAGCUGGGAAAGACGAGUAAGACAGUUAUAGAGGAGAGGAAAAAAGAUCUAACACUAGUUUACAUGCAAAGUGUCGAGGACCCAAAGUAGGGCUGUAUUUUUUUCUUCUUGGUUUUGGAAUUGAUGAAAACGUGCAGUUCGGUAAAGGGCGCCAUAUAAUUGCUGUCCAUAAACUAUUGAAUACUUGUCUUGCAAUACUGGCAUUUGCAUAAGAGUAAGUCGACUACAUGUGUCCAAUCGUUUUAAACUUCACUAGGUCUAUAGGUCUCCACAAAAUAAUUCUUAUUGCUCUGUGUCCACGAGUGGAAUAUGUUGUGAGAUAGUUUCUGUUGGUUUGCCCUGAUGCCUACCGUUGUCUGGUUUUGGGUGAUCAAAGGAGAACAGGAGGAAAGGCGGGAUUCGCAGAACGUCGUGAAAUCAACAGUAGAUGAGUGAAGAGCGCCUAUCAGCUUACCUGUCAUCCCAUCUCAUAAAAUGGCAGUAAAAACAAGAUUUGCAGACCAUUACUGCCUCGGACCAGAAAGCACCGCUUUCGGCCCACGUCGAAUUUCACCACCUUCUGCCCUGAACCAUGUGACCAGUAGUGUUUCCUCCUCUCCAUGUCCGCACCCUGAGUUACAAAAACAAAAAAACGACUGAACUGAAAACAGGUUGUGAGGUAAACCAGUCCCUCGCGGUCCACUUUCUGACUAGACGGGUGUGUUUACGUAUGUCUACAUGUGUGUUGUGCGGUGUCUAGUGCGUGUGUCUGUGACUAGUAAAGUUCAGUACCGUACUCCUAUACAGUCUCACAAUGGUCUCUUACGGCGUCCGUGGUAUUUUGUCGUUUGGGAACACACGUAUUAGAUCCAAAUGUAUAUAUUUAUAUCUUCUGUAUAAAAUCAACAACUGAAAGAAAAAGUCUAAAAAGUUGAAGCUUGCUCUAAAAACCGAAACCAAAAAAACAUUCAUGUCCUCCGCCAUGCCUUGCCAUGGAAACAUUGGUCAAAAACUUCAAAUUACUCCUUAUCUUUAAUUUGUGGGAUUUCACCUUUGCCCUUAGGGUCGUCUGACCUCUGCCCUCGACUCAGUUCUGUGACACGUCAAACCAGCGCUGAUCCUCUUACAGAACAAUAAGUCUUUUAACAUGUCUAUCCGACUACCGAUUCUAGGAAAAUAAGCAUGCUUUAGGUGCACUUCUGUCACCCGUAGUUUAACUAUUUAACCCAUGCAAGCGCAAUAAAACCCUCUCCUCCCGCCACAACACUGCGUCAGCGAGGCAUUCCGACCACAACUAGAGGAUUUAGAGGCGUUUCUAAAGUCUUGUGGUUUUAACAAGCAGUUUCAGUAGAAAAGAGAGAAAAUGGCAGAAACAGAAAGGAAAAGAAAGUAACACAAGCUUAGCUUUUUGACACGUCGUAAGUGGAUGGGUGAACAUGAUGUGUGUAUGUGCUAGUGUUACGUGAUGGUGGUGAUGGUUUGAUCGCUUCCCGUACUCCAGACAGUAAGGCCUGGAGUAACGUGACCUUUGUCUGUUUUCUUUCUGUAUUUUUUUGUUCUCCCCAAUAGUUUGAAGUUCAGGUACAUUGCAUGCACUUUGGAUUUGUGCGGGAUAUGAGUAGGCACUUUCUACAUAAACACUCGGGAGAUAACGCUCACAAGUAAGGGUGGAUGACAGAAAUAAAGCUGGAAAGUCAAUAAAAAUCAAUCCCAUUUGGAGAAAAAAACACAGUCGACAGAAACAAUAAAUGCAAGAAGUUUUUCAAUGGCACGUCAGAGGCAAAAGAAUCAUCCCUUUUUUUAGACAGAGAAAACACUUAUUUUCGACCUCUGGCAUAAAUACAUGAGAACAUUUGCAGUAACCCACAGCCCCCCCGAUUGCAUGUGUGUUUGUUUCAAGCACAUGCAGGCAUGACUUGAUAAUACUGUUUCAGGUGGCUUAUAGCAAGCUGCUUUUGUACGGUAGCAACCAGGUUUGUCAAAACACAACGAGUUCAAGAUCUACAGCGGAGAUGGAUGUCUCUCUAGCAUGCUAACCUUAGCCCUGCAGUGUCUCUGCAGCGAGUGGGGAUCCAGACAGAACCAGUUUAGCACCAUUCAUUUGAGUUGUGAGAACAUCUAUUCAGCUGUUUGGCAAAGUAGUACAAAACAUUGCUACAAGGUUUUUUCCCUUUGCUCACAAACGAAUAGCAAUCUUAUCCAUGACAUUUAGUAAAAUAAUCGCAAUUCAUGGCAGCCUUGUUCAAGAUAAAUUUACCAAGACUCAGAGACAUAAUUACUGUAGCGUCUGUGAAGUCCAAUAUCUGCUGCAAUAAACGACUAAAUACACGAUGGCCCAGAUAUUCCCAAAUGUCAGAUUGUAAUACUUAAGGAACCUAUACAGCAGCCUUCUCUCUUGCUAGGUAGAAGGCUGCCAUCAACGUACCGUUUAAUGUGAUCAAACAACCUGUUUCAGUGACACAUUUCAAUCGACUUUCAAAAAUAGAAUCAAAUACAAUGUCAAAGAUGUACGGUCUUUGCUGUGAAAAUCAAAGCGUAUUCAGUGAUGGCAAAACGUUUGGGAUCAGGAUGGUGUUAAUGGAGAAGACAUGGGAGACUCAACGUUUGUCUGUGUGUGUUGUUAAAAUGUGACUCCUUCUGCAUUGUUUGUACCAUUGAGUUAUUGUUUGUCAGCCAGCUGUGAGCUUUAGGUCAUUCAUGUUGGUGUGGAUCUAAAUUAUGAUAAUCGGUUCUGCUAAAUAAAAAUAAAAUAUAUAUUAACUUAGUUCUCUUGUUCGGUAAUAUAGCAUUCACGUUACUUGGCACCAAUGGCAGAAGAUUCUUGGUAGCCUAAAACAAACCAAAAUAAAUUAAAUAAAAUGUAAACAUAACCAUACUUGUUGUAAGAUAAUUUUGCAGGUAUCUCCUAACUCUAAAUACACUAUGGUUGUUUUUUUGUACUUUUUCAUAUUGCAUUAGGUCAUGCUUUAGCAAAAUGUUCUUCUUAAGAACAAUCAAAAUAAAAUAAAAUACUCUUAUAGUGAAAUAGUUUUAAUCAUUUUACAGAGCAUAGCCACUACUGCGUUUCUUCUUGUUUUUUCUUUUGAUCUGUUCAUAUUUUUCAUGCAUGUAGCUCAUUUUUAUCCCAGGUAUUUACACUAUAUACAAAGAAUACAACCAUACUUUUAGGCAUCCAAACAAAACUAUACAAAUAUUUUGUUUUUGUCGAUUACCUAUUUUUGACCCCUUUUUAAUGAAUAAAAUAAUAUAUCUCUAAAAUACAACCCCCGUUUGGGUAAAU
ensembl:lncRNA